UUGUCAUUUCAUGCAUAAUUUUUUAAUAAAUUGCAUUUAUCUCUGAAGGAAAGAAUCGAAAUACUCAUGAUUGGUUUUGGAGAUCGGGUACACAACAAGAGGUCUGUAAUCUAUUUAAUACAACACAUGCUGAUCGUCCUGCAAUUACUGGAUCCAUCGCAAGUAAAAUUGCAUCAAUAUCUAGGGAACACGGCCAUUACAAUUUCCAGGAAUCGGAAUUACCAGUAGGUUCGGUGGCAAAAAUACUGCGUGUAAAUAAAUAUCAUCCCUAUAAAGUACAACUGAUACAUGAAUUGUUAGAAGACGAUUUUAACCGCUGAGUGCAGUUUUGUGAGCAGAUUCUUGAGGCAAAUAAUGACAAUGGAAAUUUUAUCACGAAUUUUAAUUUGCUGAUGGAGCCAUCUUUACGUUAAAUGGACAUGUUAACAGACAAAGUUGUAGAUAUUGGGCAAACGAAAAUCCUCAUUAGACCCAAGAAUACCACACACAGCGCCCUCAAAAAAUUAAUGUAUGGGCAUGUAUUGUGAAAAUUCGAAUCCCUGGACUUUUUUUCGAAGAAACAUUAAACGCAGAGCGCUACCUGGAGUUUGUACAGUUUUAUCCCUGCUUUAGGUGUUUUAUUCCCUGAACCAUAAGAGGCUGACAUACCUAGUAACGAGAUAUGGUUUCAACAAAACCUCCUCACUUUGACAUCGCCGUUCGACAAUUUCUUGAUGCAACUUUUCCUAACAGAUGGAUUGGACGAAGAGGGCCGAUUGAGUGGCCACCAAAGUCACCGGAUAUAACCCCAUUAGAUUUGUUCUUAUGUAUUUGGAGCCGACAGUUUAUGUGAAUAGACCAAAUAAUGUUGAUAAUUAAAAGCAAAUAAUUCGAAAAAAAAUUAGACUAAUCAACAACAACUGGAUCAAUGCAUCUGGAAGUUAUUUACCAAUUUCAAAAAUGCAUUGAAUAAAUAGACAACAAAUUUAACAUCGGUUGCAAUAAAUAUUGUAUACAUUUUUAUUUUUUAAUGUCGUGUAAUGUUUCAUUAGUCUAUUACGUCAAGUUUGAUAAACCGCUGACUUUAUGGUAUGCUAUACAAAAAGUAGUCAGAAUAUAGGUACAUAUGUAUACAUAAGUAUUCAGAAUAUGUAUAGUAAAAUUGUAAAAAGUCAUGAUAUACGGGGUGUUCUAUUAAAAAAAAAAUGUUGA